GUUUAUUUAGCUCAGUUGGUUAGAGCGUGGUGCUGACAACGCCAAGGCUGCAGGUUCGAUCCCCGUAAGAGACA